ensembl:lncRNA
ACAUUAUUUUAUUUGGUCAUUUCCAAGCAUUAUUCAUUGGAGACAAAGAUCAUUUUCUCCCUCCCCCCACCUCUCCCACAGCCACGAGCAAUUCCACUGGGUAUCACAAGUGUUCUUGAUUCGAACCCAUUUCCAUGUUGUUGGUAUUUGCAUUAGAGUGUUCAUUUAGAGUCUCUCCUCAGUCAUAUCCCCUCCACCCCUGUAGUCAAGCAGUUGCUUUUCCUCGGUGUUUUUACUCCCAUAGUUUAUCCUCUGCUUGUGGAUAGUAUUUUUUAGAUCCCUGCAGAUUGUUCAGGGACAUUGCAUUGACACUAAUGGAGAAGUCCAUUACCUUCGAUUGUACCACAAUGUAUUAGUCUCUGUGUACAAUGUUCUCCUGGUUCUGCUCCUCUCACUCUGCAUCACUUCCUGGAGGUUGUUCCAGUCUCCAUGGAAUUCCUCCACUUUAUUAUUCCUUUUAGCACAAUAGUAUUCCAUCACCAACAUAUACCACAAUUUGCUCAGCCAUUCCCCAAUUGAUGGGCAUCCCCUCGUUUUCCAAUUUUUGGCCACCACAAAGAGCGCAGCUAUGAAUAUUCUUGUAUAUAUUUUUUUCCUUAUUGUCUCUUUAGAGUACAAACCCAGCAGUGCUAUAGCUGGAUCAAAGGACAGACAGUCUUUUAUCACCCUUUGGGCAUAGUUCCAAAUUGCCCUCCAGAAUGGUUGGAUCAGUUCACAGCUCCACCAGCAAUGAAUUAAUGUCCCUAUUUUGCCACAUCCCCUCCAGCAUUCAUUACUUUCCUUUGCUGUUAUGUUAGCCAAUCUGCUAGGUGUGAGGUGAUACCUCAGAGUUGUUUUGAUUUGCAUCUCUCUGAUUAUAAGAGAUUUAGAACACUUCUUCAUGUGCCUAUUGAUAGUUUUGAUUUCUUUAUCUGAAAACUGCCUAUGCAUGAAAAGAGAAACACUUCUUUUUUUUUUUUUUUUUUUUUUUGUUUUUUUUUUUUUAUUUUUUUUUAAUUUUAUAGUAUUUUAUUUGAUCAUUUCCAUGCAUUUUUCAUUUAAAGACAAAGAUCAUUUUCUUUUCCUCCCUCCCACCCCCUGUGGCCGACGCGUGAUUCCACUGGUAUCAUAUGUGUUCUUGACUUGAACCCAUUGCCAUGUUGUUAGUAUUUGCAUCAGAGUGUUCGCUCAGAGUCUUUCCUCUGUCAUGUCCCCUCAGCCAUUGUAGUCAGGCAGUUGCUUUUCCUUGGUGUUUCUACUCCCUCAGUUUGUCCUCUGCUUAUGGAUAGUGUUUUUUUCUCCUUGAUCCCUGCAGAUUGUGCAGGGACAUUACACUGCCACUAAUGGAAAAGUCCAUUAUGUUCGAUUUUACCACAGUGUGUUUGUCUCUGUGUACAAUGUUCUCCUGGUUCUGCUCCUCUCGCUCUGCAUCACUUCCUGGAGGUUGUUCCAGUCUCCAUGGAACUUCUCCACUUUAUUAUUCCUUUUAGCACAAUAGUACUCCAUCACCAACAUAUACCACAAUUUGUUCAGCCAUUCCCCAAUUGAUGGGCAUCCCCUUGUUUUCCAAUUUUUGGCCACCACAAAGAGCGCAGCUAUGAAUAUUUUUGUACAGCUUCCCAUAAUUUUUUUAAAAAAUUAGUGGCAUCAUUUUUAUAUUCUCAAGCUUUUGGGGCAUGCAUUAGCAUUAAGCAAAUGCAUUUUAAACUUACAGUACUGCUAAAUCAAAAAAGUUAAAGAAAAUCUUAAUACUGGUGACAUGUUCUUCAAAUAUAAAAAGGAGAUAAAAAAUAAAAAAUUGAAAUAGUAUAUUGCA